CCUGGACACCUCAGUCAUGGACAGAAGGGCUACCACUAAGCUGAUCCUGGAGCCCUGCAGGGAGCAGUGGAUGGGGACUCCGCGUGGGCAGCCCAGCGCCCGGGUGGCCUGCUUUUCAGAUCAGCGAAGAUCCGUCACCCACUUCGCAUCCACACCCAGAAGGGGGCAGGUGCUGGGUGGGCAACUGCCCCCACGCCUGCUGGGUCGCCUCCACUGGGCCCCUCCCUUACCUGCGGGCCUGCAGCCAGGCCCACUCCUGUGGCUGGGGAGGGAUGGGACGCAGCACAGGAUCCAGGUUGCUGCUCUGGCUUGUUCAUCACUGGAGGCGCCUCCAGUCCUCGGGACGUCUGGGUACCACUCCUGCUAGCUGCUGACCAAGUUCUGGGGCUCUGAUGCCCCGGGAGGCUGCUAGGUGCAGAAAACACCUUCAUGGCGACUGAAAAUUUAAUAUGUCAUUUCUGAGGUUGAUUUUUUUUAAAGACAAUUCAUUUUCUUUAAUUAAAUUCAACUUGUGAAUCUUCUAAAUUUAUUUUGCAUGCAUCUGGGGACUUCUACCAGUCACUUUGAAGGGGACCUUGGAGUCUGAUGAAAAGUGACAGGAACUGUCAUGACCAAUCCUGUUAACUAAAUUCCCUUGAGCAUUUAAAACUGUAUUUACAAAUUUGAUUUCUUUGAUUUUCCUUCUAAGGAGCUUCUGCUGUAUGACCCAUGGUUUUGCCAUACAUCGACAUGAAUCCACCCUGGGUGUACUUGUGUUUCCCAUCCUGAACCCCCUUCUGGAGCAGGGCAUUUUAAACUAGACUCAGCUCUUCUAUUCCUUGUUGUUCAGUAGCUCAGUUGUGUCCAACUCUACAAGCCCAUGGACUGCAGCACAGCAGGCUUCCCUAUCCUUCACCAUCUUUGGGAAUUUGCUCAAACUCUUGUCCGUUGAGUCGGUGAUGCCAUCCAACCAUCCCAUCCUCUGUCGUCCCCUUCACUUGCCCUCAGUCUUUCCCAGCAUCAAGUGUUUUUCUAAUGAGCUGGCUCUUCACAUGAGGUGGCUAGAGUAUUGAAGCUUCAGCAUCAGUCCUUCCAAUGAAUAUUCAGAGUUGA
ensembl:lncRNA